AUUGGCUCUCAUGUCCUUAAUCGGUACAGUAAUUAGAGCUUUGCACCUAAAAAUGAUAGUAUUAAUUUUAGGAUGAAAUUAACCCUACUUUCUCAUUGACGAUUCUAGGUGAAGCUGUGUCAGUGUGUUUUGCGCUUGUCGGAAAUAUGUGUCAGAUGGAAAUUCCUUUUCUAGUUUUCUUUCCUCUCGUGAAAGUUGUGUCAGAUCUGAUAAGGAUCAGCUGAUGAACUAUCUUCGGAAGAUUGGGAAGUUGCUGAAGAUCGAAGAUGAAUACAGAGUGAUUACUAGCAAUUUCGUGAUGUUUGUUGAUAUAGAUAACAUUUAUGUUAGUAGCCAUUUUACUUGUUAUCCAAUAUUAUUUCUGUUUAUUAGUGUAUCUUUUGUUUUCUAUCUCCAUUUGAGAUAAAUAGUUUGUUAAUUUUUAUUAUUUAAUUGUCGCUAA